rfam:Salmo salar isolate Sally breed double haploid chromosome ssa28, whole genome shotgun sequence.
UGGCUCAGUUGGUCGAGCCUUGCGCUUGCAACGCCGGGGUUGUGGGUUCGAUUCCCAC